UGGUGGAGUGAUUUGUCAGGUUAAUUCCGAUAACGAACGAGACCUUUAUCUGCUAAAUAGCUGGGCCAAUCUUUUAGAUUGUGCUGCAAUAGGCUUCUUAGAGAGACUAUUGACGUUUAGUCAAUGGAAGUUGAAGGCAAUAACA
rnacentral:rRNA from 1 species